CGUAGGGGCGAGCGUUGUCCGGAAUUAUUGGGCGUAAAGCGCGCGCAGGCGGUCUCUUAAGUCUGAUGUGAAAGCCCACGGCUCAACCGUGGAGGGUCAUUGGAAACUGGGGGACUUGAGGGCAGGAGAGGAGAGCGGAAUUCCACGUGUAGCGGUGAAAUGCGUAGAGAUGUGGAGGAACACCAGUGGCGAAGGCGGCUCUCUGGCCUGCACCUGACGCUGAGGCGCGAAAGCGUGGGAGCAAACAGGAUU
rnacentral:rRNA from 1 species